CCGGGCCCUUCCCUGGCCUGAAGCCGUCGCGCCUCUGGACUGACCCGGGCCGGCGCAAGGCGGGAAAGGAGCAGCAUCCGGGCUCUUCCCAGGUUUGCGCUCAGGGAACAGCGUGGGGCCUGAGCUGUUCCGGACCGGCGCCGUUGGGUGGCUUCGGAGGAAAGGGAAAGUGAGUCUUUGCACGACCCCGAGGCCGCGAAGAGUCCGGCUUUGUCUCGGGAGACAAGGAGGCCUCGCGUUUCCUCAUUCGGUUCCUGCCAGCGUCUCCCGGCUUCUAGCGUUCUUGAGGCGCGGCCUGAGCUGCCUGCGGCCGCCACCUGACUUCCCGGCGAGGGCCUCGAACCCAACAUUUGAGGACACCCAGGUGAAGAAACUGAGGCCCGGAAGGGUGUUAGCAGUGAUAAUGGGCCUGUGGACUGUGGUCUGGAAUUGUAGGAGGAAAAUUGGACUAUAGGAUUUGGUAAGUAUCUAUAGAAGGUGAACCAGAAGCCAACUUCUU
rnacentral:lncRNA from 1 species